GGUUGGUCUGAGUGCAGUGGUGUUCACAGCUAACUGAUCACAACCAAUUACAGAUUCCUUUGUUCCUUCUCCACUCCCACUGCUUCACUUGACCAGCCUUAA
rnacentral:Y_RNA from 1 species